CAAAUGUUUGAUUCGCCACAGAAUCCUCAUGCAUAUAGACAGCUGUACAUACUAGCCAAUGUGUGUGGCCACAAGAAAGUAAACGUGAAGUCUGUGAUGAAUGCCAUUACUCAGGUCUGCUCGGCUCAUCCUCGGCUUCGUGGUAUUGUUUAAAAAUAUAUCUGCGUCAUUUCACUGCUAUGGUAGCUAUUUUGCAGCACAUCUGUUACUUCUCCACAGUUUAAUGUUGUUUUAUUAGUUGCUGAAUCUGGAACCGAGUGUAGACAAACCAUCACAAUUCCAGAAGAUUCUUCAGUAGAUUUCACUUCUACAUAAUUUAGCUUUGUCGACUUGAUUUUUUAACGUACGUAUUUUGUUGAUAUGCGGUGACAUUUACCUAUUUUUGUGUCAUGAGUGUAACAUAUUACAGGCUCUUACACUUAGAUCAAGAUGAAAAUGGCCUUUAUUUCCAUUUUAAAUUUUAUUAUGUUAGGAAUUGGCUCGACUAAUAAUAUUUUGGCUGUAAGCAGAGGAAUACUGAACUCAUCGCUAUAAUAAUGCCGACCUGAUGUGUAAUGUUUAUUGUAUUGCUUUUUGCUCUAAUUAUACAUCUCCCUUCUGUAUCAAAUAACAUUUAUUAUAUAAAGUGGCUAUAUGAAAACAGA